rnacentral:rRNA from 1 species
UACGAAGGGAGCUAGCGUUGUUCGGAAUUACUGGGCGUAAAGCGCGUGUAGGCUGCUCGGAAAGUCGGAUGUGAAAGCCCUGGGCUUAACCCAGGAAGUGCACUCGAAACUCCCGAGCUCGAGUCCUGGAGAGGAAGGCGGAAUUCUCGGUGUAGAGGUGAAAUUCGUAGAUAUCGAGAGGAACAUCGGUGGCGAAGGCGGCCUUCUGGACAGUGACUGACGCUGAGACGCGAAAGCGUGGGGAGCAAACAGG